UUUUUUCCUUUUAUACAUUGAUUAAGAUUUGUCUUUGUCUUUUACAUAAUUAAUUAACAGAGUUGUAAAAAAAAUCCAGACAUAGAAAAGAAAUACAGAGACCAGAAAGAUUCAAUUUUCUUUUCCUUUGCUUUUAUACAAAUAAAAGUAAUUGAUUUGUUUAAAAAAGUAAAAGAAAAAAGAGAGAUUUGCUUGAAGAAGAUAAAGAAAAGAGAGAAAAAGAACAAGAUUGAGCUUGAAGAAGAGAUGUAAGAAAUGAUGUGCCAAUAAAAAAUAAGAAAGAAAAAGAAAGAAAAAAAAAUCUCACGUGAGAAGAGAAAGAUGAAGUGACGGCUGAUUACAUUUGCAUAUUGUUUGUAUUGUAUAUAUACUAAGACUA
rnacentral:lncRNA from 1 species